GACGAACGCUGGCGGCAUGCCUAACACAUGCAAGUCGGACGGGAAAUUCGGGUAACGGUGUUUCCAGUUGCGGACGGGUGAGUAACGUGCACGUACCUGCCCUUGAGAGGGCCACAACAGCUGGUAAUGCCUGCUAAUAUCUUGUAGGCUGAGGAUUAUAAGGAGGAAUUCGCCCGAGGAGGGGUUCGCGUGUGAUUAGCUAGUUGGGGAGGCAAUAACUUACUACGGCGAUGAUCAGUAGCUGGUACGAGAGGCUGUGCAGCCACACAGUGGCUGUGACACAGCCCAGACACCUACGGGGGACGGCGGAGGGGAAAAUACCGGAAAAUGGGAGAGAGUGACGUAGCGAUACCGCGUGGAAGUAAAGGACCCACGAGUGUUGAACAGCUUUUCCCGGAGAAAAGACAAUGACGGUAUCUGGAGAAUAAGCUUCGGCUAACUCUGUG
rnacentral:rRNA from 1 species